rnacentral:rRNA from 1 species
UACGUAGGCAGCGAGCGUUGUUCGGAGUUACUGGGCGUAAAGAGUGCGUAGGCGGUUUUCUAAGUUUGGUGUGAAAUCUCCCGGCUCAACUGGGAGGGUGCGCCGAAGACUGGAAGGCUUGAGUAUGGGAGAGGUAAGCGGAAUUCCUGGUGUAGCGGUGAAAUGCGUAGAUAUCAGGAGGAACACCUGCGGUGUAGACGGCUUACUGGACCAUGACUGACACUCAGGGACGAAAGCUAGGGGAGCGAAUGGG